rnacentral:rRNA from 1 species
CAGCCGCCACGGUAAUACGUAGGUGGCAAGCGUUGUCCGGAAUUAUUGGGCGUAAAGGGCAUGUAGGCGGUUGGGUAAGCCUGGCGUGAAAUCUACGAGCUUAACUCGUAAACUGCGUUGGGUACUGCCCAUCUUGAAUCAUAGAGGGGAAACUGGAAUUCCAAGUGUAGGGGUGGAAUCUGUAGAUAUUUGGAAGAACACCGGUGGCGAAGGCGGGUUUCUAGCUAAUGAUUGACGCUAAGGUGCGAAGGUGCGGGGAGCAAACAGGAUUAGAUACCCCCGUAGUCCCUGUCUCUUAUAC